rnacentral:rRNA from 1 species
AAUGAACGCUGGCGGCGCGCCUAAUACAUGCAAGUCGAGCGAGAAGACGUAGCAAUACGUUUGUAAAGCGGCGAACGGGUGAGGAAUACAUGGGUAACCUACCCUAGAGUGGGGAAUAACUAGCCGAAAGGUUAGCUAAUACCGCGUACGCUCCUUGGACUUCGGUUCAGGGAGGAAAGCGAUACCGAGGGUAUCGCGCUCUUGGAU